UACGAAGGGGGCUAGCGUUGCUCGGAAUGACUGGGCGUAAAGGGCGCGUAGGCGGUUUGGACAGUCAGAUGUGAAAUUCCUGGGCUCAACCUGGGGGCUGCAUUUGAUACGUUCGGACUAGAGUGGGGAAGAGGGUCGUGGAAUUCCCAGUGUAGAGGUGAAAUUCGGUAGAUAUUGGGAAGAACACCGGUGGCGAAGGCGGCGACCUGGUCCUUGACUGACGCUGAGGCG
rnacentral:rRNA from 1 species